UUUCACCUUUUUUGUCAAGGAGUAACCAUGGUUUUUUUAUAUCCAAUUUAUGACAAGCUUAAAGAGGAGGACAUUAAAAAACCAUUUGAAAUAGAAUUAGACAAAACAGGGAAAUAUAUAUUGGUUGGAGAUAAGAUGAGUUCAGAGGCAGCAAAAAAAGGCUUACUAUCUGAUCUUGGAAAAAGAUUUGGAAAAACAGAAAUAGAAAUUGAUACAAUUGAACCAGCAAAUUUAUUAAAAGCAAUAGAGGAUGGAGGCAGUGGUAUCAAUUUAAUGUUUUGUUUUUCAGUAACGCCUAAAGAUCCACUGAUACCAGAAAUCAAGGAAAAACACUCCCAAAAAAUCAAGCAGACAAACAUAGUACUUAUCAAGAAAUACAAAGAUAAGAGGGCAGAUAUUCGAGAACGAAUAGAACAGUUGAAAGCAAAUACUUCACUUAAGACAACUUCUGUAUUGACUUACUCAAAUUACAUUAACCCGUUACCAUAUUUAUCCAUUUUGGCCACUCUAGGAACAUAUAUAAAGGGCAAAGUAAAAAUAGCAAAAUCAAUAAAAUAGUAAUACUAGAUUACAUCAUUGAAAAGAAUUAGACAGUUCCGGAAAUCUCAAAAAAAUAUGUCAUAGAAAUGUUCUAGGAUAGAACUGUUAGGACAAAUCAUACGAUAGAGCUGUUUGAAUUAGUUCCAAGGUACAAAUGUCUUAAUCUUUUCAAUGAUAGAACUGCUAGAAUCUCUUCUAGGGUGAAUCAAUUAUGAAUGUCUUAAAUAAGAGCAACUCUCUGGAUGUGAAUUCAAACAGAUUCAGUAAUGUGUAGCUGGCUUACGGAUGUUUGUCAUAUUUUCGCUGAACAAGAUUAACAAGUAAAAUAGUUACAGUCUUGAAUAUAUGUUAGUUGUAUAUUUUUCAAUGUCUAUAAUCAUUUUCUACAAAAAAAAUAAAUAAGCUUAUUUUUGUA